rnacentral:lncRNA from 1 species
GAACUUUGAGUUCUAUUACAGACCCUGUGUAGUGAGAAAAGCUGGGAUACAUGAAGACUGCCAUCCCUUGAGUCACUUGCCCUGUAGCUGCCACUGUUGGAAAAGGGCUUGCUUCUGUGUCCUUGUGCCCACUUUGAAAAUCCCUGGGAAGUCCUUGGAGUCAGAUGAGCAGGCCUCCGCCACUCUGCCAAAAAGUCUGUUCAGAAGUUUCACAUCACUAGAGAAGAGAGAAGAAGGACAUUUGUACUGGGAGGAGUCGACCGGUCCCAGUAAGGAGAAAGUAGCUACAGCGUCAUGGGUGAGCUGGGUCCCCCAAAAAGGAACUUUAAGGGAAUGGACUGAAUCAAGUCUGAGAUGUCCCCAAAGCAAGACCAAAGAACUGAGGAAGAGAAGCAUUCAUCAGAAACCAAAAUUCAGCUACAAGUGAGCAUCCAGAUGGAGGUAUUAUGAAGAGGAACUGAGACUGAGGGCAAAAGGUGC